rnacentral:rRNA from 1 species
GAUGAACGCUGGCGGCGUGCCUAAUACAUGCAAGUCGAGCGAACGGACGAGAAGCUUGCUUCUCUGAUGUUAGCGGCGGACGGGUGAGUAACACGUGGAUAACCUACCUAUAAGACUGGGAUAACUUCGGGAAACCGUAGCUAAUACCGGAUAAUAUUUUGAACCGCAUGGUUCAAAAGUGAAAGACGGUCUUGCUGUCACUUAUAGAUGGAUCCGCGCUGCAUUAGCUAGUUGGUAAGGUAACGGCUUACCAAGGCAACGAUUCAUAGCCGACCUGAGAGGGUGAUCGGCCACACUGGAACUGAGACACGGUCCAGACUCCUACGGGAGGCAGCAGUAGGGAAUCUUCCGCAAUGGGCGAAAGCCUGACGGAGCAACGCCGCGUGAGUGAUGAAGGUCUUCGGAUCGUAAAACUCUGUUAUUAGGGAAGAGCAUAUGUGUAAGUAACUGUGCACAUCUUGACGGUACCUAAUCAGAAAGCCACGGCUAACUACGUG